rnacentral:rRNA from 1 species
UGAACGCUGGCGGCAUGCUUAACACAUGCAAGUCAAACGGUUUUAUUAGAAAUAGUAAAUACAGUGACGGACGGGUGAGUAAUAUUUAAGAAUCUACGCUUAGAUGGGGGAUAACGAUUGGAAACGAUUGCUAAUACCCCGUAAUACUGUUAAAGUUAAAGUUUUUCGUCUAAGCACGAGCUUGCAUCUGAUUAGCUUGUUGGUGAGGUAAUGGCUUACCAAGGCUAUGAUCAGUAGCUGAUUUGAGAAGAUGGUCAGCCACACUGGGAUUGAGAACGGAACAGACUUCUACGGAAGGCAGCAGUGAGGAAUUUUCCGCAAUGGGUGAAAGCCUGACGGAGCAAUGCCGCGUGGAGGAAGAAUGCCUUAGGGUUGUAAACUCCUUUUCUCAUUGAAGAAGUUCUGACGGUAUUUGAGGAAUAAGCAUCGGCUAACUUUGUGCCAGCAG